UACGUAGGGUGCGAGCGUUAAUCGGAAUCACUGGGCGUAAAGCGCACGUAGGCGGCUUGGAAAGUCACAUGUGGAAGCCCUCGGCUCAACCGGGGAACUGCGUGAUACUGCCUAGCUUGAGUCCUGGAGAGGGAGGCGGAAUUCCCGGUGUAGGAGUGAAAUCCGUAGAUAUCGGGAGGAACACCAGUGGCGAAGGCGGCCACCUGGACGGGUACAGACGCUGAGGUGCGAAAGUGUGGGGAGCAAACAG
rnacentral:rRNA from 1 species